UACGUUGGUGGCAAGCGUUAUCCGGAUUUAUUGGGUGUAAAGGGCGUGUAGGCGGGAGCGCAAGUCAGAUGUGAAAACUCAAGGCUCAACCCUGAGCCUGCACUUGAAACUGUGUUUCUUGAGUGCUGGAGAGGCAAUCGGAAUUCCGUGUGUAGCGGUGAAAUGCGUAGAUAUACGGAGGAACACCAGUGGCGAAGGCGGAUUGCUGGACAGUAACUGACGCUGAGGCGCGAAAGCGUGGGGAGCAAACAGG
rnacentral:rRNA from 1 species